UACGGGGGGGGCAAGCGUUGUUCGGAAUUAUUGGGCGUAAAGAGCUCGUAGGCGGUCUGUCGCGUCUGCUGUGAAAUCUCAGGGCUUAACCCUGAGCUUGCAGUGGGUACGGGCAGACUAGAGUGCGGUAGGGGAGACUGGAAUUCCUGGUGUAGCGGUGAAAUGCGCAGAUAUCAGGAGGAACACCGGUGGCGAAGGCGGGUCUCUGGGCCGUAACUGACGCUGAGGAGCGAAAGCAUGGGGAGCGAACAGG
rnacentral:rRNA from 1 species